rnacentral:rRNA from 1 species
AGUGAACGCUGGCGGUAGGCCUAACACAUGCCAGUCGAACGGCAGCACAGUAAGAGCUUGCUCUUACGGGUGGCGAGUGGCGGACGGGUGAGGAAUACAUCGGAAUCUACUUUUUCGUGGGGGAUGACGUAGGGAAACUUACGCUAAUACCGCAUACGACCUACGGGUGAAAGCAGGGGAUCUUCGGACCUUGCGCGAUUGAAUGAGCCGAUGUCGGAUUAGCUAGUUGGCGGGGUAAAGGCCCACCAAGGCGACGAUCCGUAGCUGGUCUGAGAGGAUGAUCAGCCACACUGGAACUGAGACACGGUCCAGACUCCUACGGGAGGCAGCAGUGGGAAAUAUUGGACAAUGGGCGCAAGCCUGAUCCAGCCAUACCGCGUGGGUGAAGAAGGCCUUCGGGUUGUAAAGCCCUUUUGUUGGGAAAGAAAAGCAGCAGGUUAAUACCCCGCUGUUCUGACGGUACCCAAAGAAUAAGCACCGGCUAACUUCGUG